GAAAAAGGUUGAAGAGAUCCGUUGAGAUCCGGAGUGGAUAGCAUAUCACGUGGGUGUUCAGACUUGUACUUUGAAGUUGAAACACUUAAGACUUCAUUUUGCUUGCCAAAAUCAUUUAGACCCUUUUCCUCUUCUUCUUCAAACGAAGUUCUCUCUCUCUUUUCUUGAACAUUAUUCAAAACUUUUUUCUUCUGAAUAAAAACCUUCUGAAAUCCAUCCAUAUUCUUCCGGUCCUCUCGUUGCAUCUGAUUGCGACCUACCAUAGCGGAUCCGGAUGAACGGGGAGGAGGUGUGAAGGUGGAAUAUCGCGGAAAUCUGUAACCUGUUCACGACCAUAGUAAGGGCGUAGCAAGGAGACGUGAAAAACGGGAUGAACACGAGAGGUAGAAGGGAGAUCCAACAUGUACGCUACUUGUCCGAUUCGUUUGAUGAUGGUAAAAGGACCGAAGAAACGUGAGGCUAACUUCUGAGAUGAACGUGUUUGGACGGUUUGUUGGCGAUAUGGCUGAAGCUUGAGUAAAACAAGAUCUCCGAUUUGAAAAGAGUUCUGCUAGUACCGGUUCUGAGACAGAUCCCUCAACAUAGUCAACCAAGGAAGGUGGGUCGCGACCAUAGAGUGCCCG